ACUCCUACGGGAGGCAGCAGUGGGGAAUAUUGCACAAUGGGGGAAAGCCCAUCGAUGCAGCAACGCCGCGUGGAGGAUGACACAUUUCGGUGCGUAAACUCCUUUUAUAUAGGAAGAUAAUGACGGUACUAUAUGAAUAAGCGCCGGCUAACUCCGUGCCAGCAGCCGCGGUAAUACGGAGGGCGCAAGCGUUACUCGGAAUCACUGGGCGUAAAGAGCGUGUAGGCGGAUCGAUAAGUCAGGAGUGAAAUCCUAUGGCUCAACCAUAGAACUGCUCUUGAAACUGUCAAUCUAGAGUAUGGGAGAGGUAGAUGGAAUUUCUGGUGUAGGGGUAAAAUCCGUAGAGAUCAGAAGGAAUACCGAUUGCGAAGGCGAUCUACUGGAACAUAACUGACGCUGAGACGCGAAAGCGUGGGAGCAAACAGGAUUAUAUACCCUGGUAGGCUCUG
rnacentral:rRNA from 1 species